UACGUAGGGGGCAAGCGUUGUCCGGAAUUACUGGGCGUAAAGCGCGUGUAGGCGGGACGGUUAGUCGGACGUGAAAGGCUGGGGCUCAACCCCAGAUCGCCGUUCGAAACUGCCGUUCUUGAGGGUCGAAGAGGAGAGUGGAAGUUCUGGUGUAGCGGUGAAAUGCGUAGAGAUCAGGAGGAACACCCAUGGCGAAGGCAGCUCUCUGGUCGACAUCUGACGCUGAGACGCGAAGCGUGGGGAGCGAACGGG
rnacentral:rRNA from 1 species